GCAGGGUAUGGUGGUGCAUACCUGUAAUCCCAGAAGCUUGGGAGGCUGAGGCAGGAGGAUUAUAAAUUCAAAGCCAGUCUCAGCAACUUAGUGAGGCCCUAAGCAACUUAAUGAGACCAUGUCUCCA
rnacentral:sRNA from 1 species